GCUUGGACUUGUAGCAGAUCAUGUUACUGCCUGCUACAGGAAGGCAUUGAAUGCAUCAGGGAUGGGGCAAGAAGGCAGUGUGCAGUGUAACAGUUGGUGAAGAUUGCAUUGUACUAAGAGAAAUUCUGAAAGAUCUUAUGUGGUGAAGCGGGUGGAAGUUUUGACAGUUGGAGAACCACUGAAAGUAUCCUGUCUGGCUGCAUCAUUGUGUGAUAUGGAAGAUGCAAGACCCCACAGAGAAUAGUAAAACCACUGAGAGGAUCCUGGGAUCUCCCUCCCCCCUAUUUGAGAAAUUUACCUGAAGCACUGUGUAUGAAAGGCCUAAAGCAUUGCUGAGGAUCCCUACCACCCAUCUCACAAUCUCCUUGAUCCACUACCAUCAGGAAGGAGGCACAGAAGCAUCAGGUCUGGAACUGCCAGACUAGGUAACAGUUUCUUCCCUCAAACCAUGAAACAAAUGAAAACUCUGCUACCACCCAGGUGAGGUCACUGGGGUAGCGAAAUGUUUACUGUUUACUGUUCACCUGCGCCGUGCACUACGUGCAUUUUGAAUUGUAUUUUAUUAACUUAUUUGUGGUAAUAUUUUGUUUUAAGUGUUGUGUGUGAUACAUUUUUUUGUGGAUGCACCAUGGGUCCAGGGGAAUGUUAUUUCUUUCGCUUGAGUUCAUACAGUCAGAUGACAAAAAACUUGAACUUGAAUCAAAAUUGGCACUUGUGGCAGCUUGGCAGGUAUCAAACCUGGGGAAAGAUCAUUGUGUAGAGAGUUAGAGUGGGAGAUAAAGACAGAGAGGUAGAUUGAAAGAGAUAGAGAGAGAGAGAGAGAGAUAAAUAGAUAGAUAGAUAGGUAGAGGUAGAGAUUCACAAUUGGUGUGGUCCAGGUGGGCACAAAGAGAGAACCCAGACAUUGUAAAUUAAUGCUGUUCUGGACAAAAUAGCAAAGAAUAAUUUGCAAGUGGAUGAUCUUUCCAUCAAACCUUUAAAUCAUCAGACCCAUAUUUUGGCAUCUGUUAGUAUUUACCCAUGUAACUGCCAACAUAUAUUUGAAGAACUGACAGGAUCUUUGGAUUUUCACAUAAAUAGUUAUUGUGAUUAACUGCUUGUAAGAGUUUUCCUAAGUGCACUCUGAGCUCUUUAGAAGAGCAGAAAAUUGCACUAAUUCUUUGAUAGGAAUCUAGAUGAAUAUUUUGUGUCAGGUUGGACUUGAUACAGAACAUGUUUCUCCACUUAUUCUAUGCAGCCCAAUGGGAUGAACUCAAGAAGGCAUCUUGGUCAGUGUGAACAAAUUGCUUGAGAAGCCAGUUUCUGGGCUGCAUUACCCUUUGACUUCAUGACUCAGCAUUAGUUUCCUCAAAUUAUUGGAAGAUUUCUGUGCUGCCUUGGAAAUUCGUUGGUUUCUCAGUGAGGGAAGGAUGGGCUGUGCUCUGCACCAAAACAAGUUAGCAUCUAGACUGAGGAAGGGUAACCUCUUUUUUACUUUUUUCACCCAAAUGAAUCUGAUCAUAUUUGUUAUUGAAGCCAAGGGAAAGUCUGAUGAUUGCAUCUGAUUGAUCACAAACUAGGGCUCCCAGAACAGACAGAUCUUAUAAUUAUCUCCCCAGCUUUGCCCCAUAAACAGAAUUAAAUCAACACAUUUUAAAAUAUUAGGUUUCAUUUAUUUCAGCACUGUUUUUCUUCCCUUGCCAUCUGCAGCGUCUCCGUCCUGGUUUCUAACAUUUACUGUAGAGAGUCAAGCCAAUCUGCUUCUAGCCUACUCAUCUGCAAUUAGGUUGAAGCAAGCAACUCGUAUUAUUCAGCUUGAAGGAGGGCAAUCACUCUCUUACUUCCCUCACUUCCUCUGAAAGCAGCCAGACAUAGUUCAGCACUCUAAAACCCCUGGUGACAAGGCAGCAGUUGUGAUGUGAAAUU